GAUGUAAAUGUCAGCUUUACAAUCUCCCUGUGACACCAGGGCAUUAAUAUAUUUAUUUAGGUGGUGAUCUCCCUUAUUGCCUGGGGGGGACUGUGAUGCAAUUUGCUUCUCUCCCGUCUGGCAGGUAAGUAAUUAGAGAUACCCAUUCUACAGAGGCCCUUCAAAGUGCCGUCCUCUCUUCCUGCAGACAUCCGUCACAUGCUAGGGACCUCAUAACAGAACAAUCUGCCGGAGAAGAUGCAUUGGCUUUCUAGCUUUCUAUAUCUAGGCUCGGUGCACUAUUCCUAUUUUAGGAGAUUCUGCAUGCCCUUGUGUCUGCAUUCUCCUUCCUCCUUACUCAAGGUGAGCUCAAGAAGCAAUGGACCGUGCACACAUAACAUGCCAGCCUCUGCCUGCAUACAUACCUGCACAGCAUAUGCCUAGGAUACAAUGGGAGAUGUAAAUUAUAGGCUGUGUGUCUCAAUAACAAAGGAUCCUGCCAUAAGCCUCUGAAUAAACCUCCCUCUUCAAAUAUCACAUCCCUAGAUAUAUACAUGUGUUUACUCAGCACCUGGAAGGAUACCGUCUAUUUGCCUGCAGGAUUACCCAGAUCAAUCAAGCUCUCUCUAAGGUUCUGACUGGCAUGAGUUUCUCCUGUUUCCACGGCAGAAGAAGGACUGUCACCAACAUGAGUCGGACCGUUACCAAGGACACCAGUCUGUGUUCAGUUCUUAUUGUGCUGCCGUCACAGUUGGGAAGAGAGAAUGAGAUUAUUUAUAGGGGGGGGCAUCCAACCAAAAAAAAAUAUCAGCAUAAGUGGCUGCAGCAGGUAAUUCAUAGUCACUUAUUUAUAAGGCCUUUUUACUAUUAUUAUUAUUAAUGAAUCAUCUAAUAUCCAUGGAAAUGUCAGAGCAAUUUGCAUCUAAUAAAGCAGCGAUUUUCUGUGAUAA